rnacentral:rasiRNA from 1 species
UACGCGAUGACUUCUCUGACGAUGA